rnacentral:rRNA from 1 species
GACGAACGCUGGCGGCGUGCCUAAUACAUGCAAGUCGAGCGGACGAAUCGAAAGCUUGCUUUUGUUUCGUUAGCGGCGGACGGGUGAGUAACACGUGGGCAACCUGCCCUGUAGACGGGGAUAACACCGAGAAAUCGGUGCUAAUACCGGAUAACACGAAAUGUCGCAUGACGUUUCGUUGAAAGACGGCGCAAGCUGCCGCUACAGGAUGGGCCCGCGGCGCAUUAGCUAGUUGGUGAGGUAACGGCUCACCAAGGCGACGAUACGUAGCCGACCUGAGAGGGUGAUCGGCCACACUGGAACUGAGACACGGCCCAGACUCCUACGGGAGGCAGCAGUAGGGAAUCUUCCGCAAUGGACGAAAGUCUGACGGAGCAACGCCGCGUGAGCGAAGAAGGCCUUCGGGUCGUAAAGCUCUGUUGUUAGGGAAGAACAAGUAACGCAGUAACUGGCGUUACCGUGACGGUACCUAACGAGAAAGCCACGGCUAACUACGUG